GCUAGGCAUGGAGGCGCAUGCCUGUAAUCUAACUACUUGGGAGGCUGAGACAGGAGAAUCACUUGAGCUCAGGAGGUUGAGGCUACAGUGAACUAUGAUCAUGCCACUGCACUCCAGCCUGGGCAACAGAGAAAGACCCUGUCUUUG
ensembl:misc_RNA Metazoa_SRP Metazoan signal recognition particle RNA